CCUACGGGGGGCAGCAGUGGGGAAUAUUGCACAAUGGGGGAAACCCUGAUGCAGCAACGCCGCGUGAGCGAAGAAGGCCUUCGGGUCGUAAAGCUCUGUCCUAAGGGAAGAAGCAUGACGGUACCUUAGGAGGAAGCCCCGGCUAACUACGUGCCAGCAGCCGCGGUAAUACGUAGGGGGCGAGCGUUAUCCGGAAUCACUGGGCGUAAAGGGUGCGUAGGCGGCCGAUUAAGCCAGGGGUGAAAGGCUACGGCUCAACCGUAGUAAGCCCUUGGAACUGAUUGGCUUGAGUGCAGGAGAGGAGAGUGGAAUUCCGAGUGGAGCGGGGAAAUGCGUAGAUUAGAGGUGGAACACCAGGGGGGAGGGCGACUCUCUGGAGUGUAACAGACGCUGAGGGACGAAAGCGUGGGGGGCAAACAGGAUUAGAUGCGCCAGUAGUC
rnacentral:rRNA from 1 species